rnacentral:tRNA from 1 species
GGGAAGGUGGCUCAGUGGUAGAGCACUUGCCUUGCAUGCAUGAGGCCCUGGCUCGAUUCCUCAGUACCA